rnacentral:pre_miRNA from 10 species
CGUGACCUACCCUGUAGUUCCGGGCUUUUGUUUGAAUAGCAUUUAUGUAAAUGCAUUUUUACGCUUAUCAGAAGCUCGUCUCUACAGGUAUCUCACAG